rnacentral:tRNA from 1 species
GGCCCGGUGGUCAAGUGGUUAAGACACAGGCCUUUCACGCCUGCGACACGGGUUCGACUCCCGUCCGGGUCACCA